GAGAGCCGACCUACGGAGAAAUCCGUAUGGGCGGUUCGGGAAGGAGAGGUUGGAGACGGCCCCCUCCCAAUGGGGGUAUCCGAAGGGAUUAAACGCGCCAACCUCUUACUUUCAC
rnacentral:ncRNA from 1 species